UUACGGCCAUAUCACAUAGAAACGCCGGUUCCCGUACGAUCACCAAAGUUAAGCAACGUCGACCCUGAUCAGUACCUAGAUGGGUGACCAUUUGGGAAUACCAGGUGCUGUAAG